ensembl:lncRNA
CAGUGACUGAAUGAGCAGAUGCGGAUUCCCAGGAAAGGCAGCCAAUUCUCACCUGGGAAGAGAUGCACAAGAGGAAUGUCCAGAGUUAUCCUCCCACUGCUGCGAGGGUUCACUGCCCCUAUGAAUCAGACACAGCACACAGGCAAAAAAAAUAACGUUGCCAUCCCAACAGCUUGCAGUCAAAAUCAGAGAAGAGAAAAAGCAGAGUGAUAAAACAAACAGAAGAGAAAAGGCAGUUCAAUUGGUAACGUAGCAAUGUUAGGUGAUGUUCCAUAACCCCGAUCUGUAAGGACAGCUCCUGCCCUCACUGCGCAGCCAUUCAGCUCUGAUACCUGUUGAAGCUCCAGAGGCAAAUCAUCUGAACUCUCGGACCACUGAGCUAUCACUGCUGCAGCUAGAGCCAUCAGUGCCAACAUUCUGCCUUCACUGUGGCACAGGGGCGCCAUGUUGGACACUGCCCCACCAGCUGCUCCGCAUUCCUGCAGGGCCACAAUCUCAUCUCUGGGAUGGCAGAAGGACUGGCAAGAACAGUUGGAAGAUUCUGCUUCCUCCACCGCCAUUGUCUUGCGUUGUUCUGCCGACCUGACAAUGUUCUUUUCUUUGCUUUUUAAAUACAAAG